GACAGAAAGAAGACGUCAGAUAACGAAGCCACGCAGAACCAGUGAGUAACCGCCUGGAGAUUUUCGACUCAACAUGCCGUCGAUUACCGAGAGAGAGAAAGAACAUGCUUGACAAGCUUCAGAGAUAGCUGUGUCCGUGGCUGCUGACCCCCUCCUCCCUCACCGCCGGCCUGAGCUGCUCAAAUACAC